rnacentral:tRNA from 2 species
UGGGGGAUCGUCUAGCGGUAGGACGCCAGUUUCUGGAGCUGGCUGCCCAGGUUCGAUCCCUGGUCCCCCAGCCA